rnacentral:misc_RNA from 1 species
GGAGACCAAGGAAGAAUAACAAUGAAAGAAAUUAACCUGUACAAACUUAGCAAAGCCAGAACCAAGGGGAGAUCCAUUAUACAAGGCAAUGGAUGCCCCAUUCAACAAUGCAGCAUAAACGAGCCAAGGUCCCAUCAUCCACCCAAGAUUAGUGGGCCAAGCAACAACAUCGCCAUUUUUGAUAUCCAUAUGGCACCACCCAUCAGCAGCCGCCUUGAAAGGUGUGAGGAGAGUCCAUGGAAUUGCCUUCGGAUCUCCUGUUGUGCCAGAUGAGAACAGAAUGUUCGUAAAUGCAUCAAUAGGUUGUUCAACAGCAACAAACUCAAGUCCCUUGGAAUCUUUCACUCUGUCUAAAAAGUCAGGCCAAGAGAUGUCACCAUCACGUAAUUCUAUGCUCAAGCUGGAGACUCUAUUGGGAAUCACAAUUGCCAUCGGUGAAUGAGCUUCAACAACUCGACUGUACAAGGGUAUCUUUUUUUCUCCACGGGGAAUAAAAUCCUGAGUAAAAAUUGCUUUUGCUUUUGAUAAGAUGAGCCUUGUUGAAAUUUCACUUGGGGCAAAACUAUCAGCAAUGGACACAACUACAUAACCAGCAAGAACAAUAGCCAAGUAGAUCACCACAGAAUUAACAUCCAUCGGCAUAUCUAUAGCUAUGGCAGAUCCUUUCUCCAAACCCAGGCUUUCAAGAGCAUAUGCAACUUCCCAAACUGAUUCACGUAACUCCUGACAGGUCAUCUUUUCAACAGGUGCUUCAUCAUUUCCUUCACUUCGCCAUAUUAUGGCUACAUCACUUAAAGUCCUCUUUCUUAAACUGAGGCAAUUCUUCGCUGGAUUCGCUCGUGCUCCAGGAAGCCACUGACCACCUGGAUGAGAUGGACUCUCACGUAAAAUACAUUCAGGGGGAACUGAAAAUGAAAUAUUCAUUUCUUCCAAUAUGGUUUUCCAAAAUACCUCUUGGUCGGAGACUGAGAAUCUCUGAAAAUCUGAGAAGCUAGAAAUUGGGUCGUCAUAUUUUGAUCCCAAAAACUCCAUUCCACGUCUUUCCAAAAGUUGGCCAAUAUUCGUCAACCUUGCAGUUUUUGGGUCGGGUAACCAGGCAGGCGGGUCAGGCCCAAAAUCCUUGUAGCAGCCAUAGUACAUCAUCUGAUGGAAAGAGAAAGGAAGGUUUGGGGUGAGUAGUUCUUUGGAGAUAUGGUGCCAUGUUUGUGGAGUAACAGACCCGUAAUUACGAACAAUCCGUGUCAGUUCUUCGUGAAGUUUCCCGGCGAGUUCAGUGGGUAUUCCGAGAGCUUCGACGUCGGCGACGGUGACGGAAUCUAAGGUUCUGUAAUUCUGAUUAGCCAUAACCUACACACGGAGAUUGAUUACACAUAGAUUAGAGCAAAUGGCGAGUCAAACAGCUUGUCGAUGAAUGAUGAAG